GUUCAAAAUGACAUUCUUAUACCUAAAAGGAUAUAAAAAUCGGAAUUUUUCAGAUCGGAUUCCCGGAGGUAAAUGGAUCGGACGAACUAUCCCCUCAUAAACUAGUCAACUUAGGAAAUAGUUUACUCCGGGGACCUAAAGGUGGCUACAAUCUGAACGGCAACAUCUACAACUAAUCUGACCGUUCAAAAUGACAUUCUUAUACAUAAAAGGAUAUAGAAAUCAGAAUUUUUCAGAUCGGGUUCCCGGAGGUAAAUGGAUCGGACGAACUAUCCCCUCAUAAACUGGUCAACUUAGGAACUAGUUUACUCUAGGGACCUAAACGUGGCUAAAAUCUGAAUGGCAACAAGUACAAUCAAUCCAACCGUUCAAAAUGACAUUCUUAUACCUAAAAGGAUAUAGAAAUCAGAAUUUUUCAGAACGGGUUCCCGGAGGUAAAUGGAUCGGAGGAACUAUUCCCUCAUAAACUAGUCAACUUAGGAACUAGUUUACUCCGGGGACCUAAACGUAGCUAAAAUUUGAAUGGCAAAAAAUACAACCAAUUCAACCGUUCAAAAUGACAUUCUUAUACCUAAAAGGAUAUAGAAAUCGGAAUUUUUCAGAUCAAGUUCCCGGAGGUAAAUGGAUCGGACGAACUAUCCCCUCAUAAACUAGUCAACUUAGGAACUAGUUUACUCCAGGGACCUAAACGUUGCUAAAAUCUGAAUGGCAACAAGUACAAUCAAUCCAACCGUUCAAAAUGACAUUCUUAUACUUAAAAGGAUAUAGAAAUUGGAAUUUUUCAGAUCGGGUUCCUGGAGGUUAAUGGAUCGGACGAACUAUCCCUUCAUAAACUAGUCAACUUAGGAACUAGUUAACUCAGGGGACCUAAACGUGGCUAAAAUCUGAAUGGCAACAAGUACAACCAAUCCGACCGUUCAAAAUGACAUUCUUAGACCUAAAAGGAUAUAGAAAUCGGAAUUUCUCAUAUUGGAUUCUCAGAGGUAAGUGGAUCGGACGAACUAUCCCCUCAAGUUAUAAUAAAACAAACUAACCAUGAUUAUCUAUUUUAAUGACAUCAACAAUGUAACAAACAAAUAUAAUAUAAUUUUUUUAAUGACACCAACAACAAUUUUAAUUAUAAAAAAAGUUAUUUAAAGGUAUAAUAGCACUAGAAGAAAAUGGUCAUUUUGGGACACUCUGAAAGUGUAAAAACUACUAAUUUUUUUUGCACUAAUUUUACGAUGGGUUGCUUUAAGAAAUUAAUUAGUAUAUCAAGCACUUAAUGGAUCAAUUAAUUAAACCAUUAUAAUCAAUAUUAUAAAAUGAUUGUAAUUAUAUAUGUGAUGUUAAGAAUUUAAUCGUGCAAUUGUUUAAAUUAAAAUUAACUGUCUAUUGUUUUGUACAAUUAUUUAUUUUUUAUAAGAUAUAAUUGUACAUAUAACGAAUCACAGAAAGACAUCACUCCUACAACUAAAAUAGACUUAACCGUCUAAUGGUAUCAAAUAUAAUCAACCGGAUCGUUGAAUAUGACCUUAUUGGAAUAAGAACGAAGUAGUAACUGGAAUUUAUGAAUUCAAAAUAUUAUGUGUAAGUUGAUAUGACGAACUCUCCCGUUAGAAACCUAGUCAAUACGGAAAGACAUUACUCCGACGAUCAAAACGGAUCCAACCGACUAACAAUAUCAAAUAUAACCAAUCAGGCCAUUGGAAUAUAAUAUGACCUUAUCAGAAUAAGAACGAAGCACAAAAUGAAAUUUUGAAAAUCAAAAUCUUCAUUGUAUCAUUGUAAGUCGAUAUAACGAAGUAUCCCAUUAAAAACAUAGUCAACAUGAAAGGACAUUACUCCGAC
rnacentral:lncRNA from 1 species